UACGUAGGGUCCGAGCGUUGUCCGGAAUUACUGGGCGUAAAGAGCUCGUAGGUGGUUUGUCGCGUUGUUCGUGAAAACUCACAGCUCAACUGUGGGCGUGCGGGCGAUACGGGCAGACUUGAGUACUGCAGGGGAGACUGGAAUUCCUGGUGUAGCGGUGAAAUGCGCAGAUAUCAGGAGGAACACCGGUGACGAAGGCGGGUCUCUGGGCAACAACUGACGCUGAGGAGCGAAAGCGUGGGGAGCGAACAGG
rnacentral:rRNA from 1 species